GCCCUCGUGGCGGAAUCGGCAUACGCGACAGGUUGAGGACCUGUGCCAUUUUGGCGUGUGGGUUCGAGUCCCACCGAGGGCACCA
rnacentral:tRNA from 5 species